ACUACGGGUGGCUGCAGUGAGGAAUAUUGGUCAAUGGACGCAAGUCUGAACCAGCCAUGCCGCGUGCAGGAAGACGGCUCUAUGAGUUGUAAACUGCUUUUGUACGAGGGUAAACGCAGAUACGCGUAUCUGUCUGAAAGUAUCGUACGAAUAAGGAUCGGCUAACUCCGUGCCAGCAGCCGCGGUAAUACGGGGGAUUCAAGCGUUAUCCGGAUUUAUUGGGUUUAACGGGUGCGUAGGCGGUCGGAUAAGUUAGAGGUGAAAUCCCGGGGCUCAACUUCGGAAUUGCCUCUGAUACUGUUCGGCUGGAGAGAUGUAGAGGUAGGCGGAAUGUAUGGUGUAGCGGUGAAAUGCUUAGAGAUCAGGCAGAACACCGAUGGCGAAGGCAGCAUACCGAGCUACUUCUGACGUUGAGGCACGAAAGCGUGGGGAGCAAACAGGAUUAGAUACCCUUGUAGUC
rnacentral:rRNA from 1 species